GACCUGGCGAGUUGCCUUGGACGGGUGAGGAGCCAAGGACGAGGCGCCCUGAGCCGAAGACUCCUGGCGGUUCCGCUGACUGGAUUUCCUCUCCAGGUGGUACUUGGCCUGACUCUUGGAGCGGUCCAGCAGAUUGGCAGUUAAGCUCUUGCGCUUCACUGCCCUUGAGUGAUAGUGCUGCUCUGUCCCCUCCGUGUAGGGCUCUAAGUGGUGCUCCUGGUCCUGGCUAAGCUGGCUUGAAUCCUUUCCUUGAUCCUGCUGCCAGCCCAGGUGCUCCUCCAGGUUGUGUUGGCGAAGUUUCCGUUUCUUCUUGGGCCUUUCUGGCCCUCUGCCCUUCUCACUGAUCUCUCCGGACAGCCCAGAUUCCUCCCCAGUUUCAGACUCCACAACUUGCAGUAUUGUCUCCGUUUCUCUUCUCUCCCUCGGGUUUUCCACCUGUUCCUCCUCAGAAACUUCCACAAUCUCCACAUACCUAGAGACUCUAGGUCUCACCACCCUUCUUGCCCCUUCUGGGACACUUAACUGGUGCACAUCCGGGGAGACUUCAGGCCCCUCUACCCUCCUUGGGGCCUCCUCAGGGGGCCUCACCACAGCUACAUCUUCGGGGGGUUCCUGGGCGUCCCCAGGCUCCCUUCCUUCUUGACUCCACAGCUCCAUACUUAACAGGCUUAGAGCUUCCCGUUUCAACCGGUCCACCCACUCAAGGCAGGUACUCACAGUAUACCAUCUCCAACCCUUUCCCUCACAUCCUCUCUGGUAGGCAGCCUCAGCCUACUAAUAAGUCUGGUUGCCCAGGAUUGUCUCGCCCUCCACUCAAAGUGAAGCUAUCUAAGACAAAACCCUUUUCCCAGUUGGGGGUUAUUUUCUGUCGGGUAAAAAUAAAAUCCACUUCCCUUAAGGCAUCUCUCUCCCUUUAAGGCCUGAGCGUGACGUGGGUCUUCUCCAGGGUUUCAGAAGACUCUUGGCUUGUCUUGAGGUUCUUUAAUGGACACUUCCUGGAUGGAGAGUCAGGGGCAUGUCUACCGUGGAGAGGUCAGACACCGUGGCCAAAAUUACGAGUCAGUCUCCGUUUCUUCAAAGUUGAAAGUGUUUAGUGCCCUCUGGUGUUUGCAAAGAGACGUGUCAACUUGCCACAAGCUGGAGUUAUCAGAAAGGAGCCUGCAUUGAGAAAAUGCCCCCAUGAGAUCCAGCUAUAAGGCUUCAGUUUUCCCAUCUGUAUGCUGAACUCAGCUCCUCACUCAGGAACUCGGACUCUCGUUGAGCAUGCAUAAUGGAGCUGAGCCAAAUCCAAUAAGAAAGCAACCAUGAAAAUAAUAUUUUACAUUUAUUCCAGAAAGUCAGUACACUGUUUUCCUACCUAUUCACCAUAAGUAAUUACAUUUGAAAUUCCUUCGAUCUGUUCCUAACACAAUUGAACACAGCAGUACAAAUGUAGCCAGUGAUCUAAUAGGAACAUUUGAAAAUAUUUAGAAUGAGAAAGGAGACUUAAGAGACCACAAUCCACAAAAUCUAAUGAGGCAGUGACAUCUUUGUCUACUGAUCCUUCCUGGAGUUGAGGAGGGCCGAAAGACGCUGAAGGUCUCAGAGUGCUUCUAAAGGUUAAUCUCUAAGACUUGAACUCACACAAAUAUAGAAUUAAACCAAGAGAAUUCACAAGAGAGGAAUUGCGAAUGGCUGAGAAGCACCUAAAGAAAUGUUCAAAGUCCUUAGUGGUCAGAGAAAUGCAAAUCAAAAUGACCCUGAGAUUGGUGUAAACCAAUCAGAAUGGCUAGGACCAAAACACAUGUUGGUGAGCAUGUGGAGAAAAAGGAACAUUCCUCCAUUGCUGGUAGGAUUGCAAACUAGGACAACCACUAUGGAAAUCAACCUGAAGGUUCUUCAGAAAAUUAGGAAUAGAUCUAUCUACCUGAAGACCCAGCAAUACAACUCUUGGGAAUAUACCCAAAAGAUACCCCACCAUGCCAAAGGGGCAAGUGUUCCACUAUGCUCAUAGCAGCCUUAUUUGUGAUACCCAGAAGCUGAGAAGAAUGGACACAGAAAAUGUGGUUCAUUUACACAAUGGACUCAACUAUUAAGAACAAGGACAUCCUGAGUUUUUCAGGCAAAUGGGUGGAACUAGAAAAUAUCAUCCUCCGUGAGAUAACUCAGACCCCAAAAGACAUGCAUGGGAUAUAAACACUAAUAAGUGGAUAAUAGCCAAAAACAAGUACAGAAUACCCUAGAUACAGUCCUCAGAAUUCAAAAAGUCAACAAGCUGAAGGGCCCAAGUGAGGAUGCCUCAAAGACUCAAAAGGGAGGGACCUUAGAUGAAAUGCCAGACAGUAGGGAGAAGAAACUUAUAGGGCUUAUCCCCAGCAGAAAGACAGACCAUCAAAUGAGGGAGCGGUUUGCCAUUCCACAGCCAAAACUCUGACCCAUAAUUGUUCCUGUCUGAAAGAACUGCAGGGAUGGAAAAAGAGAGAAGCUGAGGAAAAGAAGGUCCAGCGACAGGCCCAAAGUGGGAUCCAGCUCAAAGGGAAGUCCCAAGGCUGGACACUAUUACUGAGGCUAUGGAACACUCACAAAAAGGGAUCUAUCAUGACUGUCUUCUUAAAGACCCAACAAGCAGCUGAAAGAGUCAAAUGCAGAUAUUUGUACCCAACUAAUGUACAGAAGCAGCUGACCCCUGUGGUUGAAUUAGGGAAAAGCUGGAAGAACCUGAGGAGGAGGGCGACCCUGUAGGAGGACCAGCAGUCUCAAUUAACCUGGACCCCUGAGAUCUCUCAAACACUGGACCACCAACCAAGCAGCAUAUACCAGCUGAUAUUAGGCUUCCAAUACAUAUACAGCAGAGGUCUGCCAGGUCUGGGAUAAGUCAGAGAAAAUGCACUUAGCCCUCAAGAGACUGGAGGCCCCAGGGAGGUUAGAGGUCUGAUGGGGAGGGGGCUGAGGAGGGACAUCCUCGUGACAAAAGGGGGAGGUGUUCAGGGAGGAGAUGUAGGAUGUGGAACAGUUGGAGGGUGGAUCAGGAGGAGAAUAAAAUCUGGAGUAUAAAAAUACAUACAUACAUACAUACAUACAUACAUACAUACAUACAUACAAAAUUUUAAAAAAAAAAGGAAAUACCCCUCCCUAUUCAACAGAAAAAGCAGACACCGCAUAGGGAAGACUCAAUCCAUUUUUAUGUUACUCUGUGAGACCUUGGAUCCCAGUCUUAGAAAGGAAAAUGUCUAAAGUGGUCAGGUAAUCCUCUCUAUUACUAUUGCUUUGUAUAUGCAAUCUAUAAAUGACAUUAUUCUAUUAAUGACUCUGUCCUUGAAUAGUAAACAGACCUUUAACAUAAAAAAGUUAUUGAAUUUCCUCUACUUUACCUCUUCAACAUAUUUGCUGCAUUAGUAUUAAGAAAUUUGAGCCAGAUGUGGUGACUUGACCCCAUAGUUUCAGCAUCUGAGAGCACACACAGGAGGACCACCUUGGACUACAUAGUGAGUUUUGGGCCAGCCUGAGCUACAAAGUCACACCCUGUCUCAACAAGCAAACAUACAUAUAUACAUAAUUACAUACAAAUAUACAUUCAUGCAUACAUACAAGCCUACAUACAGAUGUAUACACAUGGAAAAUACAUAUGUACAUAAUUCAUACACACAUGCAUCCAUAAAUGUACAUACAUACAUGCAUACACACAUAUGUUCAAACAAGCACACUGUAUUAGAAUAUAUAAGAAUAGAACUGAUAGAAUUAAUCUAUGUGUAGAUCUAUAUGUACUCAGCUGGUUGGGGAAGUCACAUCUUUGGGUAUAGUCCCACUAGGUCAACAAUGGCUAUUUCUCAACAAAAAGUCCAAGAAUCCAGUAGUUGUUCAAUCCAUGAAGUUGGAUAUCUCAGCUGGUCUUAAGCGUAGGACAGACCCCCAAAGGUGGAUAUUCCUAUCUUAAAAAAUCUGGAUUAAAGGUAGAUCUUCCUAUUUCAAAUGAUUUAAUUAAGAAAAAUUCAUCAAAGAAUUACCUGUCCAUUUGGGUUUUAGUUAGUUCCAGAUAUAGUCAAAUUGACAACCAAGAAUACCUAUGCACAUGCAUACACAAUACAUACAUUCACACAUAUGCAUAUACAUGAAUGCACAAUAGGGUCUGUCUAGAGCAGGGUCUGGCUUUUUCAUAGGUUACUAUGCCUAAGCAUUUGAAAAAACUGUUAUUAAUGCUGACUGUCUUGAGAGUUGAUGCUACCAAGAGGGUUCAUGGUAGUCUUUCUGCCCAUAUGAUAUCUUCUCCCCAUCUAGGCAGACCAGGCUCUUGGAGAUCCAGUACACUAUGAAUGAAGCUCAGUUGAUCUUGUCCUGGUAGUGAACAGAUCUCACUUGAGAUCCACUCACUAUAUGUACUCAUGUGUGUGUGUAUUUAUGCAUCUAUUAUACACUGGUCCAAAAAAUUAUGCUGUCUCUGAGUUCAUAGGACACAAUGGUGAGAAGAAAGCUUUGUUAUGGAUCUCAGCUGAUGAGAUCUGAUGCAUCUCCAUUUGUUUCUCUUCCUGCAGCUGACAGUAGCAUUCAAUAAGCAUCAUGAAUCCUUGUAGUAAGUUAUUAGAUCCAGUGGUGCUACUGGGGUAAAAUCAUCCUGAGACCACUCAGCGUGACCAAGGUUCAAAUUGAGAGUCUGUAUUAUGUCUGCUGACAUAACUAAAGUUGAAACUCUUCAUUAUGGGGGUUUCAACCAGACACACAGGGAAGGAUUUUUCUGUCCUUGAAGUACAGUCUUCCACACCCAAAGGCCUGGCAGACAUCUUACUUUCCUCUCUUGACCACUCAGUCCAAGAAUGAUGGCCCUUUGGGAGGCUUAGCAGUGAGAUUGGAAGGCUACUUUUCUAACAGUAACACCAUUAGCACAGAAUUAUGACUCAAAAGUCUUGAAGCUAUAUAUCAGUUAAGAUCCAACCAGAGGCACAAACACACACUAAGUUCAACAGGAAAAUAGUUUUAAGACUGUUGACCACCAAGGGCACAGGGACAAGGAGAGUUAGGUGAGAGUUAGGAGGUAAAGAGGAUGGUGAAUGUCUCAGAAGUGACAGGCCAGAGCAUUUUAAAGCUUUACAAAUAAGGCAGAGUACCCAGGCACAAGCCUAACUCCCCCAUCAGGCUGGGAUAGUCCUUGGAGGAGACAGUGGUGGGGAUUAGUGGAUGUCAGAGUUUAGGGUGAUGCCUCAGUUGUUAGAAAUUUGUGAGUUUAUCCUAUGAAACUUGCAGAAAAUCUACUCUCCAGGGGCUGGGAAUGUUUUUCUGGGAAUUCACCUCAUGUGGGUAGGGAAGUGGGGGGAGGGUAUGGGGGACUUUUGGGAGAGCAUUGGAAAUGUAAUUGAGGAAAAUACGUAAUAAAGAAAUAUUAAAACAAAAACAAAACAAAACAAAAGACCUUCCCACAAAUCUGCCUGCAUGAAGAGAUGCUGGGAUUCCUGCAAAUGACAGUAGUUGGCAUUCCACACAGCAUGAAUUGACACCUGGGGAAACCUUGCUUCUUGCAGGAGGUUGUCCCAGAAAUGUGACUCACUCAACCACCUGGGUAGACACACCACAGUGUUUCUCUUGUGCCCACUACUGAUAAUUCUUAUUGUGCUAGAUUUCAAAGUUAAAAUGCUUAAAAGGCCCAGAUCAAUUUUUAUAGGACAGGUAAUAAAUUAGAAAUUUGGACCUACAAAAAAAUAAUUGGCAAGUAGGCAAAGGUGAAAUAUAUAUAAUGAGAUUUAUUUUCUUGUCCCAGCUGAGAGUUUGGAACUUGCCUAUAGUUCCACAGUAAGGAGGUGUCAGCAAGGGUAGGUUUCAGCUGACCCCACGUUAAACCCAGUAUAUGACUUUGCAACCACAUGAUCAUGCAAAUGAAACAGUUUUAUUUCGGUUUUCUUGUAUCUGUUGAAAGUCGCUUUGUGACUGAAUAUAUGUUCCAUAAGUUGCUGAGAAGAAGGUAUAUAUUUUUUGUGUAUGUGUUGGUUGAAAUGUUUUGUAGAUAUUUGUUAGGUCCAUUUGAUUCAUAAGAUAUGUUAGCUCCAUCAUUUCUAUUUAGUUUUUGGACUGGAUGACCUGUCCAUUGGUAAGAAAGUCUCUUCCUAUUAAUGUGUGAUAUUUUAUGUAUGAUCUAAGGUUUAAUAAUGUUUCUUUCACAAAUGGGAGUGCCCUUGUAUUUGGGGUAUAAAUGUUAAGAAUUGAAUGUCAUCUUGGUAGAUUUUCCCUUUGAUGAGUAUAAAAGAUCCUUCUCCAUCUCUUUUAGUUAAUUUUGGUUUAAAGUCUAUUUUAGAUAUUAGAAUAGCUAUAUCAGCUUGCUUCUUUGGUCCAUUUGCUUGGUAAAUCUUUUUUCAAUCCUUUACUCUGAGGUAAUGUCUAUCUUGGAUAUUGAUGUAUGUUUCUACUGUGCAGAAAAAGGAUGGAUCCUGUUUUAAUAUACUUUCUGUUAGCCUGUGUCUUUUUAUUGGGG